UGAGUACGAGCGGCUACGGCCGCGAAGUGGAUGAUGUCAAGCUUCCAAGAAAAGCCCUAUACCCGUUAAGGCAUGAUGGCCUGUACCCGAAACCGACACAGGUGGGGUGGUAGAGAAUACCGAGGGGCGCGAGGUAACUCUCUCUAAGGAACUCGGCAAAAUGGCCCCGUAACUUCGGGAGAAGGGGUGCCACCGCGAGGUGGUCGCAGUGAAGAGGCCCAGGCGACUGUUUACCAAAAACACAGGUCUCCGCUAAGUCGCAAGACGAUGUAUGGGGGCUGACGCCUGCCCAGUGCCGGAAGGUUAAGGAAGCUGGUCAGCGCAAGCGAAGCUGGCGACUGAAGCCCCGGUGAACGGCGGCCGUAACGAUAACGGUCCUAAGGUAGCGAAAUUCCUUGUCGGGUAAGUUCCGACCCGCACGAAAGGCGUAACGAUCUGGGCGCUGUCUCGGAGAGAGGCUCGGCGAAAUAGAAUUGUCUGUGAAGAUGCGGACUACGUGCACCCGGACAGAAAGACCCUAUGAAGCUUUACUGUAGCUUGGUAUUGUGCUCGGGCUCGGAAUGCGCAGGAUAGGUGGGAGGCUUUGAUCCAUUGCUUGCGGGUGAUGGUGAGCCACUGGUGAGAUACCACUCUUUCCGAGCUAGAGUUCUAACAGCAACCCGUUAUCCGGGUGCUGGACAGUAUCAGGUGGGCAGUUUGACUGGGGCGGUCGCCUCCUAAAAGGUAACGGAGGCGCGCAAAGGUCUGCUCAGGCUGGUUGGAAAUCAGCCGACGAGUGUAAAAGCAGAAGCAGGCUUGACUGUGAGACCUACAAGUCGAACAGGGAGGAAACUCGGCUUUAGUGAUCCGACGGUUCUGCGUGGAAGGGCCGUCGCUCAACGGAUAAAAGUUACUCUAGGAUAACAGGCUGAUCUCCCCCAAGAGUUCACAUCGACGGGGAGGUUUGGCACCUCGAUGUCGGCUCAUCGCAACCUGGGGCUGAAGUCGGUCCCAAGGGUUGGGCUGUUCGCCCAUUACCGGUACGCGAGCUGGGUUCAGAACGUCGUGAGACAGUUCGGUCCAUAUCCGGUGCACCGCAGGAAUAUUGAGAGGAUUUCUCCCUAGUACGAGAGGACCGGGAGGAACGCACCUCUGGUGUGCCAGUUAUCGUGCCAACGGUAAACGCUGGGUAGCCAUGUGCGGAGUGGAUAACCGCUGAAAGCAUCUAAGUGGGAAGCCCACCUCAAGAUGAGUAUUCCCAUGGCAUAAGCCAGUAAGGUCACGGGAAGAACACCCGUUGAUAGGCUCUACGUGGAAGCGCAGUAAUGUGUGAAGCGGAGGAGUACUAAUAGACCGAGGGCUUGAC
rnacentral:rRNA from 1 species